rnacentral:rRNA from 1 species
UACAGAGGUCCCAAGCGUUGUUCGGAUUCACUGGGCGUAAAGGGUGCGUAGGCGGUCGUGCAAGUCGGAUGUGAAAUCUCAGGGCUCAACCCUGAAACUGCAUUCGAUACUGCGCGGCUAGAGUGCUGGAGGGGAGACUGGAAUUUACGGUGUAGCAGUGAAAUGCGUAGAUAUCGUAAGGAAGACCAGUGGCGAAGGCGAGUCUCUGGACAGCAACUGACGCUGAGGCACGAAAGCGUGGGGAGCAAACAGG